rnacentral:rRNA from 1 species
CAAACGGAGAGUUUGAUCCUGGCUCAGGACGAACGCUGGCGGCGUGCCUAACACAUGCAAGUCGAACGAAGAUCAUGGAGAAGCUUGCUUUAAAAUGAUCUUAGUGGCGGACGGGUGAGUAACGCGUGAGGACUUGUCCUAUACAGGGGGACAACAGAUGGAAACGUCUGCUAAUACCCCAUAAGCCUAAGGGUAAAAGGAGCGAUCCGGUAAAGGAGAGACUCGCGUUCUAUCAGCUAGUUGGUGGGGUAAAAGCCUACCAAGGCCAAGACGGAUAGCCGGACUGAGAGGUCGACCGGCCACACUGGAACUGAGACACGGUCCAGACUCCUACGGGAGGCAGCAGUGGGGAAUAUUGGGCAAUGGGGGCAACCCUGACCCAGCGACGCCGCGUGAGUGAAGAAAUCCCUCGGGAUGUAAAGCUC